CGGGGAGUGGCGCAGCCCGGUAGCGCGCCUGCUUUGGGAGCAGGAUGUCGCAGGUUCGAAUCCUGUCUCCCCGA
rfam:Novosphingobium malaysiense strain MTSC 273 Contig3, whole genome shotgun sequence.